rnacentral:rRNA from 1 species
AUUGAACGCUGGCGGCAUGCUUUACACAUGCAAGUCGAACGGCAGCGCGGGCUUCGGCCUGGCGGCGAGUGGCGAACGGGUGAGUAAUGCAUCGGAACGUGCCCAGUAGUGGGGGAUAGCCCGGCGAAAGCCGGAUUAAUACCGCAUACGACCUGAGGGUGAAAGCGGGGGAGCGAAAGGCCUCGCGCUAUUGGAGCGGCCGAUGUCGGAUUAGCUAGUUGGUGGGGUAAAGGCUUACCAAGGCGACGAUCCGUAGCUGGUCGGAGAGGACGACCAGCCACACUGGAACUGGAACACGGCCCAGACUCCUACGGGAGGCAGCAGUGGGGAAUUUUGGACAAUGGGGGCAACCCUGAUCCAGCCAUGCCGCGUGCGGGAAGAAGGCCUUCGGGUUGUAAACCGCUUUUGUUCGGGAAGAAAUCCUCUGGGCUAAUACCCCGGGGGGAUGACGGUACCGGAAGAAUAAGCACCGGCUAACUACGUG